rnacentral:rRNA from 1 species
GAAAGCCUGAUGGAGCAACGCCGCGUGAGUGAAGAAGGAUUUCGGUUCGUAAAACUCUGUUGUAAGGGAAGAACAAGUACAGUAGUAACUGGCUGUACCUUGACGGUACCUUAUUAGAAAGCCACGGCUAACUACGUGCCAGCAGCCGCGGUAAUACGUAGGUGGCAAGCGUUGUCCGGAAUUAUUGGGCGUAAAGCGCGCGCAGGUGGUUUCUUAAGUUUGAUGUGAAAGCCCACGGCUCAACCGUGGAGGGUCAUUGGAAACUGGGAGACUUGAGUGCAGAAGAGGAGAGUGGAAUUCCAAGUGUAGCGGUGAAAUGCGUAGAGAUUUGGAGGAACACCAGUGGCGAAGG